GACGAACGUUGGCGGCGUGCUUAAUACAUGCAAGUCCACUGAAGCAGUGGUAGCAAUAUCGCUGUGGAGGUGGCGCACGGGUGAGUAACACGGAGGUAAUCUGCCUUCAGGUCUGGCAUAACUCCGGGAAACCGGGGCUAAUAGCAGAUGAUGCAGCGGCUCGACAUCGAGACAGUUGUUAAAGCUAUGGCGCCUGAAGAUGAGCCUGCGUCUGAUUAGCUAGUUGGCGGGGUAACGGCCCACCAAGGCAACGAUCAGUAGCUGGUCUGAGAGGAUGCUCAGCCACACUGGAACUGAGACACGGUCCAGACUCCUACGGGAGGCAGCAGUAAGGAAUAUUGCUCAAUGGGAGAAAUCCUGAAGCAGCAACGCCGCGUGAGGGACGAAGGGCUUUUGCUUGUAAACCUCUGUAGGGAGAGAAAAAAAUCCCAAUCUUUGGGACAUGAUGGUAUCUCAAAAGUAAGCCCCGGCUAACUACGUG
rnacentral:rRNA from 1 species